rnacentral:rRNA from 1 species
AAUAGAUACCCUGGUAGUCCACGCUGUAAACGUUGGACACUAGGUGUGGCGGUCUGAUCAACGACUGCCGUGCCGAAGCUAACGCAUUAAGUGUCCCGCCUGGGGAGUACGGCCGCAAGGCUAAAACUCAAAGGAAUUGACGGGUCCCCGCACAAGCGGCGGAGCAUGCGGCUUAAUUCGAUGCAACCCGAAGAACCUUACCUGGGUUUGACAUCAUGGGAAAAGCCGUGGAAACACGGUGUCCGAAAGGGCCCAUGACAGGUGGUGCAUGGCUGUCGUCAGCUCGUGUCGUGAGAUGUUGGGUUAAGUCCCGCAACGAGCGCAACCCUUGUCCUAUGUUGCCAGCGGUUCGGCCGGGGACUCAUAGGAGACUACCGGGGAUAACUCGGAGGAAGGUGAGGACGAUGUCAAGUCAUCAUGCCCCUUAUAUCCAGGGCUGCACGCAUGCUACAAUGGUCGGUACAACGGGCAGCGAUCCUGCGAAGGUGAGCGAAUCCCACAAAGCCGGCCUCAGUUCGGA